rnacentral:rRNA from 2 species
CCCGGUGAUAAUAGCGAGGAGGUAACACCCGUUCCCAUUCCGAACACGGAAGUUAAGGUCCUCAGCGGCGAUGGUACUAUGGCGCUCGGUCAUGGGAGAGUAGCUCGUUGCCGGGU